rnacentral:rRNA from 1 species
AUACGGAGGGUGCGAGCGUUAAUCGGAAUUACUGGGCGUAAAGCGUACGUAGGCGGUUGGUUAAGUUAGAUGUGAAAGCCCCGGGCUUAACCUGGGAACUGCGUUUAAAACUGGCGAACUAGAGUUGAGUAGAGGGGAGUGGAAUUUCAGGUGUAGCGGUGAAAUGCGUAGAGAUCUGAAGGAACACCAGUGGCGAAGGCGACUCCCUGGACUCGAACUGACGCUGAGGUACGAAAGCGUGGGUAGCAAACGGGAUUAGAUACCCUAGUAGUCC